rnacentral:tRNA from 1 species
GGGGUCGUCGGCUAGCUUGGUAGGCUUCGAGCUUCGGGUGCUUGAGACCUGGGUUCAAAUCCCAGCGACCCCACCA